UACGAAGGGGGGCUAGCGUUGUUCGGAAUUACUGGGCGUAAAGGGCGCGUAGGCGGUCCUUCAAGUCAGGCGUGAAAGCCCCCGGGCUCAACCUGGGAACCGCGCUUGAGACUGGCGGGCUAGAGUUCGGGAGAGGAUGGUGGAAUUCCCAGUGUAGAGGUGAAAUUCGUAGAUAUUGGGAAGAACACCGAUGGCGAAGGCAGCCAUCUGGACCGACACUGACGCUGAGGCGCGAAAGCGUGGGGAGCAAACAGG
rnacentral:rRNA from 1 species